rnacentral:lncRNA from 1 species
ACAUGUCAUUUAGAGAACAUAAAAAAAAUCAGUCAACCUUAAGAAUGACUACAAAAAAUAGCCAUAUUUGUCAUUUAAGACAUUUAUGGUAUAACACGGCAAGGUAUUAAUGAACAGAGAGGGAUGGACCUUAAUUAUGUUUGAAGAUUCAUGACUAACAUUGAAUGAAAAAUUCAUAGAAGCAUGUAACAUGUAAAAUAGAGCAGUUAUAGCAAGUUUCAUAAAGUUGAUCAAAAACCAGUUGAUGCAAUAAAUAACCUAGUGGACAUCAGUAUCCACGCAAUAUAUAAGACAUGUAAAC